rnacentral:rRNA from 1 species
AGAGUUUGAUCCUGGCUCAGGAUGAACGCUGGCGGUCUGCUUAACACAUGCAAGUCGAACGGGUCCUUUCGGGGAUUAGUGGCGGACGGGUGAGUAACGCGUGAGAAUCUGCCUUCAGGUUCGGGACAACAGCUGGAAACGGCUGCUAAUACCGGAUGUGCCGAGAGGUGAAAGCUUAAGUGCCUGGAGAUGAGCUCGCGUCUGAUUAGCUAGUAGGAGUGGUAAUGGCACCCCUAGGCGACGAUCAGUAGCUGGUCUGAGAGGAUGAUCAACCACACUGGGACUGAGACACGGCCCAGACUCCUACGGGAGGCAGCAGUGGGGAAUUUUCCGCAAUGGGCGCAAGCCUGACGGAGCAAGACCGCGUGAGGGAAGAAGGUCUGUAGAUUGUAAACCUCUUUUGAUCGGGAAGAAGACAGUGACGGUACCGAUCGAAUCAGCCUCGGCUAACUCCGUGCCAGCAGCCGCGGUAAUACGGAGGAGGCAAGCGUUAUCCGGAAUUAUUGGGCGUAAAGCGUCCGUAGGUGGGUCACCAAGUCAGUUGUUAAAUAGUGAAGCUUAACUUCAUAGAGGCGACUGAAACCGGUUAUCUAGAGUGUGGUAGGGGUAGAGGGAAUUUCCAGUGUAGCGGUGAAAUGCGUAGAUAUUGGAAAGAACACCGGUGGCGAAAGCGCUCUACUGGGCCUGCACUGACACUGAGGGACGAAAGCUAGGGGAGCGAAAGGGAUUAGAUACCCCUGUAGUCCUA